rnacentral:tRNA from 1 species
GCCGGAGUCGCAUAGCCAGGUAGUGCGACGGUCUCGAAAACCGUUGUCUUCACGGACUCGCAGGUUCGAAUCCUGCUUCCGGCGCCA